GCCGGGCUAGCUCAAUCGGUAGAGCGUGCGGCUCUUAAAAUCCACACUUCGUGGUCACCGCAAGGCUGCGGGUUCGACCCCCGCGUUCGGCU